UACGGGGGGGGGGCAAGCGUUUGUUCGGAAUUACUGGGCGUAAAGGGCGCGUAGGCGGUUUGCUAAGUUGGAUGUGAAAACUCUGGGCUUAACCCAGAGCCUGCAUCCAAAACUGGCAAACUUGAGUACUGGAGGGGAAAGCGGAUUCCUGGUGUAGCGGUGAAAUGCGUAGAUAUCAGGAGGAACACCGGUGGCGAAGGCGGCUUUCUGGACAGUAACUGACGCUGAGGCGCGAAAGCUAGGGGAGCAAACAGG
rnacentral:rRNA from 1 species